UUUAAUUACAGGAUUUACCGAUGAAGUGGGCACAUAGAAAUGGGGAAAUCCUAAAGGGGCCAGCUGUGUUCAAGUUUAAGGACUCCCUGAGGACCCUCACCCAGGCCAGAGGACGGAUAGGCUGCGCUUGAGGACAUGACUCCUCCCGUCUGUCGGAACCUCGAGGGCCUUGCCCGCUAGGAGAGAAGAAAGAGACCCCAGAGGGAGGAAGAGCUCCCAGAACAGGGGUUCUAUAUCCUGGUCCACUUGAGGACAGGAGGUUAAGAGGAGUGCCAGAGAAUUUUCUAAGAAACGAAGGUACCAUGGAACCAACCCCGGGAUUAAAUAGAAGACCCACAUGUGAAGCUGCGGUGAUUGCUUCUGCUGAGAAAUUACAAACCACGUGUUGGGCCAGGGGUGGGCUGGGGGCUGUGAAGGGAAUUGGGUCGGAUAUGAAAGACUCAGGAAAAUAAAAUCGGAGUCCCCAAACUUAAAGCUCCUGUCUUUUAAACUUUUCUAGAGAGCGAAGGGCGCGAGGGUGAAGCCCUGCCGAAGCACCCUCCCCUUCUGGUUUUUAAAGUCCCCUGGGGUCGCGGCCGCCACUGCGAAUGCCUGGUCUUUCCAAGAGUUUCGGAACACGAGCAAAUCCAACCUCUUCCAACUGAAAUAAUAAACACAAACUCCUCUGUGCCCUAGGGCCAAAGCAUUGUGAAUAGACAAGGCAUCAUUCUUUC